UACGUAGGUGGCGAGCGUUGUCCGGAUUUACUGGGCGUAAAGGGUGCGUAGGUGGUUUCUUAAGUCAGAGGUGAAAGGCUACGGCUCAACCGUAGUAAGCCUUUGAAACUGGGAAACUUGAGUGCAGGAGAGGAGAGUGGAAUUCCUAGUGUAGCGGUGAAAUGCGUAGAUAUUAGGAGGAACACCAGUUGCGAAGGCGGCUCUCUGGACUGUAACUGACACUGAGGCACGAAAGCGUGGGGAGCAAACAGG
rnacentral:rRNA from 1 species